GUGUAUCCUUGGGACCCUGAGGCCGAGUGCGUGCAGGACUGGGCGAUACCUCCGCCAGGCAGGAUUUUGUCUGAUUCACCCCUUGAGAGACAGUGGGUCUUGCUACAUUGCCCAGGCUGAGCUUGAACUCCCCAGCUCAAGCAAUUCUCCUGCCUCAGCCUCCUGAGUUGUUGGGACUGUGGAUGAUGCAUGUCACCAUGCCUGGCUUAUAUUUGAUAUUUUAUGUUGACCUAUGUUUAGCCACAUUGCUGAAUUCACUAUUUAAUUUUCAUAGGUUUGUGUGAUUUAGAUUUUUCAUAUAUGCAAUCAUGACAUUUGUGAAUAAUGAGAGUUCUAUUUCUUUUCCAGUCCCAUGACUUUUUUUCUUAUCUUAUUAUGCUAGGUGGAACUUCGGUACAUUUAUGUAUUUAGCUAUUAGUAGUUUUAUUGAGGUAUAAUUGACCUACAAUAAAUUAGGUACAAUUUGGUAAGUCUUGACACACAUGCUUGAAAAAACAUCACCACAGUAAAAACAAACAAACAAAAAAACUAAACAUAUCUAUCACCUUCUACUCUUUUCUUUAUAAUCUGUCCCACCUGCCCCAAACCCCAGAUAACCAUUGGUAUGCUUUGUCACUUAGAUUAGUUUGCAUUUUCUAAAACUUUAUAUAAAUAGAAUAAUACAGUAUGUAUUAUUUGUUGUCUAGAUUCUGUCACUCAGCAUAAUUAUUUUGAAUUUCAUGUUUUUGCAUACAUCAGUAGUUCAUUUUCAUAUUACUGAGUGGUGUUAAAUUGCAUACAUACAUUACAAUUUGUAUAUCCAUUCACUUGCUGGUGGACAUUUGGGUUGUUUCCAGUUUUAGCCAUUUCAAAUAAAAAUGAUGAGGACAUUUA